rnacentral:rRNA from 1 species
UACGUAGGGGGCUAGCGUUGUCCGGAAUCAUUGGGCGUAAAGAGCGUGUAGGCGGUCCGGUAAGUCCGCUGUGAAAGUCGGGGGCUCAACCCUCGAAUGCCGGUGGAUACUGUCUGGCUAGAGUCCGGAAGGGGCGAGUGGAAUUCCUGGUGUAGCGGUGAAAUGCGCAGAUAUCAGGAGGAACACCAAUGGCGAAGGCAGCUCGCUGGGACGGUACUGACGCUGAGGCGCGAAAGCGUGGGGAGCAAACAGG